CUGGAAUAACAUGGACCCUGUGUAGACAGAGCCAUACAAAAUAUCAAGAAUCAUUAGCGAGCCACAGAACUUACAGGACAGACCGGACAGAUGCCAAAAACAUUAUUUUUGAAAAUGUCUGAGCUGUGACUAACCUUGCUGUGACAUAUAAAAGCCUACUUCAUGAUUCUAGCACCUGGUAGUGAGGCAACAAUGAAUUUGUGACAUGUCAGAAGAUUCUGAGGAGCCCAGAGGCCUGUGGGUGGUUGUGAAACGCCAGUAGAGACACUGUGAUGACGCACAGAGGCUUAACGCAUGAGGAAACCCCACUCAC